GCUCCAGACUCCUACGGGAGGCAGCAGUGAGGAAUAUUGGUCAAUGGGCUUACGCCUGAACCAGCCAAGUCGCGUGAAGGAAGAAGGCUUUCGGGUUGUAAACUUCUUUUAAGAGGGAAGAGUAGAAGACGGUACCUCUUGAAUAAGCCACGGCUAACUACGUGCCAGCAGCCGCGGUAAUACGUAGGUGGCAAGCGUUGUCCGGAUUUACUGGGUGUAAAGGGCGUGUAGCCGGGCCGGCAAGUCAGAUGUGAAAUCCGGGGGCUCAACCCCCGAACUGCAUUUGAAACUGUUGGUCUUGAGUAUCGGAGAGGCAGGCGGAAUUCCUAGUGUAGCGGUGAAAUGCGUAGAUAUACGGAGGAACACCAGUGGCGAAGGCGGAUUGCUGGACAGUAACUGACGCUGAGGCGCGAAAGCGUGGGGAGCAAACAGGAUUAGAUACCCCAGUA
rnacentral:rRNA from 1 species